CUUAGUUCGUGGAGUGAUCUGUCUGCUUAAUUGCGUUUCAAAUUCUAUUGUUGAGUACCAGGUCCUAAGAGUUUCAAGCAAAUCUGUCUCUGAGUGUGAACUGUAUGUCUUCGGAUAUGCGACUAUCGCUCUAGACAACUAUGAUCUGCUUGUAGCCUCUGGUACUCUUUUGAACGCAACGGACGUGAUUGCAACCCCUUGUUGAGUUUGCUUCUCUUAGGAACUCUACGUCUGCUGAACCACCUACCUUAGCGGGUAGGUGGUGAGGUGGAUAAACUCGGGGGACUGCUGACUAUAACCAUUUCUCAAAACAGAGGAAGGUUGCGGCAAUAACAGGUCUGUGAUGCCCUCAGAUGUCCCGGGCUGCACACGUGCUACAAUGAGUAGCGCAGUGUGCACAUUUUGAAGAGUGAUAGGUGCUGGGGAUUGUAUAUUUCAUGGGCUCGUCCUGGUAACCAACCGCCCCCAGCAUCUAUCAACCUUCCCUUUACAGGGUGGGUAACCUCUUCGAAAUGCUGGUUUGAUUCUCUUAGUGUUUGUCAUUUUAUUCCUCGUCGCAGCUGCUCUAGGACAUAGUGAACACUGUAAAGUGAUUCCCGUCUUAGGCUUGUGACGCGUGCUUUUCCUGGUUGACUCAUC
rnacentral:rRNA from 1 species